GCUGGGCGUGGUGGCACGUGCCUGUAAUCCCACCUACUUGGGAGGCUGAGGCUGGGGAAUCGCUUGAACCCAGGAGACAGAGGUUGCAGUGAGCUGAGAUCACGCCACUGCAUUCCAGCCUGGGUGACAGAGCGAGACUCUGCCUCAA
rnacentral:SRP_RNA from 1 species